rnacentral:rRNA from 1 species
GACGAACGCUGGCGGCGUGCUUAACACAUGCAAGUCGAACGCUGAAGCUUGGUGCUUGCACUGGGUGGAUGAGUGGCGAACGGGUGAGUAAUACGUGAGUAACCUGCCCUUGACUCUGGGAUAAGCCUGGGAAACUGGGUCUAAUACUGGAUAUGACAUGCCACUGCAUGGUGGUGUGUGGAAAGGGUUUUACUGGUUUUGGAUGGGCUCACGGCCUAUCAGCUUGUUGGUGGGGUAAUGCCUACCAAGGCGACGACGGGUAGCCGGCCUGAGAGGGUGACCGGCCACACUGGGACUGAGACACGGCCCAGACUCCUACGGGAGGCAGCAGUGGGGAAUAUUGCACAAUGGGCGGAAGCCUGAUGCAGCGACGCCGCGUGAGGGAUGACGGCCUUCGGGUUGUAAACCUCUUUCAGCACGGAAGAAGCGAGAGUGACGGUACGUGCAGAAGAAGCGCCGGCUAACUACGUG